rnacentral:tRNA from 1 species
CUCAGUUGGUAGAGCAGAGGACUGAAAAUC